AACGAACGCUGGCGGCGUGCCUAACACAUGCAAGUCGAGCGCGAAUGGAGCAAUCCUAGUAGAGCGGCGCACGGGUGAGUAACACGUGGGUAAUCUGCCUGGAAGAUCGGGACAACCUGCCGAAAGGCUGGCUAAUACCGGAUAAGCCCACGGGGUCUUCGGACCUCGAGGGAAAAGAUGGCCUCUGCAUGCAAGCUAUCACUUCCAGAUGAGCCCGCGGCCCAUCAGCUAGUUGGCGGGGUAAUGGCCCACCAAGGCAACGACGGGUAG
rnacentral:rRNA from 1 species